rnacentral:ncRNA from 1 species
UAUGUACUUCAGGGCAGGGUGUAAUUCCCGAUCGGUGGUAAACCCCACGAGUCAAUAAUUGGCAGGAACCGGAUAAUUCCCGGUGGCGACAGUAUAGUCUGGAUGGAAGAAGUUUUUU